GCAUGGGUUUGGGUUUAUGGCAGGCCUGUCCCCCGGGGUCUCUCAUGGUGCCCCAUUCCAGAGCAAACUGUGGCCUUGAACCAUUGCCUGCCUCUACCCGUGGGCAGCAGGCCCUGAAGAAAAUAAAAAAUAA